ensembl:lncRNA
AAAUGGGUUAACUCUGCCCCCUUUUUGAUCUGAAAGCUGUCCUUGUAAAACAACUGGAAAUUCUGUAAGAAUUGCAUCUCCUGCAACUGUUUUCUUCAUGGUCCCUUCAAAGAGUAUGUGACAUCUUAAAUGUGGGGAACAGAACUUCUACUCCAUGAAGCUGUGAUCUCGUGGGUGACAGGACUGGGAGACAUAUGUAGUAGGAGAAUCAACUGUAGGCAAACAUCACUCAGGGCUGUUUUCAAGGACACCCAAGGAUCAAGGUCCCGUGUCAUUCCCAUGAGUUCCACACUGCUGCUUCAUCAUCCCUGGUGCUGGAAAGCAGGCCCUCAAUUUCACCUGGAUAUUUCUGUCAUUUAAAGACCAUCAUUUCUUGCCCUAUCCCAGAACAUCAUUGUGUAUGUAUGCUCUGCCUGCUUUAAUGUAGUGUUUGCUUUUCAGAGAGAGCACAGAAGCAAAGGAAGCUAAGUUGUGCCUUGGAAAGUGGCUGGCAAGCCUUUCUGGCUAAGCAAGGUUUUGACCGGAAGACUAAAAACUCAGCUUAUAUUGUACCUGUAUGGCUUUAAAGCCAGGUGUAUUGGCUGCUAGAAUGUAAUGAGUGGAUACCACAACAGGAAUAUGAGAAGAUUUAUUGCUAAGACCGUGAGGUGGUGGAGUCUGUGCUUGUGAUCUGUCGUGUGGCAAGAGCAAGAAACAGCAGUAACCAAGACCUUGUUCAGGUUGCCAUCGACACUCGGUACUGCUAUGUACCUUCUGCAUGGAGACUGCAGAAACCUUGCGAAGCUCCAUGGUUGCUGGGCCGCUUUCUGGCCAUUCUAGUGAUGCAACCUGACAAGCCAUAGCACCAACAGUGGGGAAGGAAGAACUGUAUGAGCCUGCCUAACUCCAGGCUGAAGCUGUUGUGUGAGGAGGAAUCCAGUUGCACAAACCUCAACAGAAGUCAUGCCACACCAUGUUGCUCAAAGCUGAACUGCGAGUCUGCAUGGUGUGCAUGGUGGUGCCACUAGAUGUCCCUUGUCACCCAAGUGAUGUUGGUGGCUCAUCCCCAGUGCUAUAUGAUGUAGCACUGUAAAGAAAUCAGUGUUUAAAGCAUUCGAUAUAGAGAGAUGUUGUGGCUGUCUCAAAAAGAAGACUUGUGUUAUCCUCAGAAAGCUGACAUCUUGGCGAGGACAUCUGUGCCACUCAGCAUGCCUAUGCCCUUGCACAGCUUCACCUGGGCUUCUGUGGAGUGAUUCCUGCUCGCCCUUGUCCCCCAUGGUGCUCUGUGCACCUACCAUUGCUGUAUGAGUAGGGGGAUGCGCCUGUCCCCAUGCUGCCCUGAAAGCUUCUGUGCCGUGUUAUCAGCCCCAGGAUGUGUCGCUGCAGUGUGUGAUCGCGCAGACCAUGCUGUUGAGUAUUCAGAGUCACAUACGCUCGCCUGAAUGACUGAAAUGAAGUAUUUGCUGCUUUCUACUUCAUUUAAACCUGCGGGAGCUGGUAGUGCUCAUCCUCCCCACACACUGAGGUAUCCACACGUGCCACUUGCCAGCCUGGGGCUUCUUCCCCAAGCAAUGGCUGAGCAAAUCUCUUAAUAACAGAGCAACUACUCGCAGAUUAUUGUGAUCAUAAUUUGGCUGACAUAGCCUUUAUUACUAAUGGCAAUGCUGGAAAUGGAAAACCCAGCUUGAUGCUCAGCUCCCUGCUGGAAAGUAAUAAAAUAAAGAGGAACAAAAUCAGUGAGUGUAUUUGCUACCAAACCUUUGAAAAACACAAAAGUGGAACCCUGCCAAUGCUCUUGCUGGCGGUUUUUCAGACCAGAGCCUCUCUCCAAGGUAGGAUUAGAAGUGGAAGUGCAUUUGUAUCUAUGACAUUAGUAUCAUGUUGUUGUGUAUGAAUGGAGGAUUUGCAAUCAUUUGACAUCUAUUGGUUUCUAUUGCAAUUAUGGCGCGCUGCUUUUUUUUUUACCUUCAGCAUAUUCUUUAACUUCUUCCAGUCAUGGAAUAAGUAGAAAACAACUUCAGUUAUUGUCACAAACAAACAAACAAAGACAAGUGUUUAUUUUGCCAACUCAAAGAAUGGUCAAAAGAGGAAUUUCAUUGAAAAUGUUCUGAUAAAAAUGGAGGAUGUCGCAGCUUUUCAGUGAGGUCUUUGUUGACAACAUGAGCUGAGGGAGGUUGGCUUUUACAUAGCCUCUUUUGUCCAUCUUUGUGCAAUGGCAGAAUUCACAGCUAAAUUCUGAUGGCAGAAAUUUCUUGUCUGAGAAUGGUAUGAUAUCAUAUAGAUUAAUAAAAAAAAAACAUCCCCAGACCAUAGCUCGGAUUUUGAAUACCAGAAUGAGCCUUCAGUGCUAAGGAAUGAGCCUCCAGUGCUAAGAAUACAGAAAAAGCUAUUAAUUUUUUUUCUUAAACAUAAAGAGAACCGCUUGAUAAAAUCAGUUGCAAAUAAAGGAGGAAUGUAAAUGCACUUUUCAAUUAUUUUUUUAUUUCCCUCCCUCUCUCUCUCUUUUUUUUUUUUUUCCAUGUUAAUACUUCUUUGGAUCUUGGUUCAUAACCAUCCAGUAAUUAUAAUUAUAAAGGAAACUAACUUUUACCGUGCUAAUUAAACUGUAUGUCACAUAGGCAUUCGGGGAGAAUUUCCCAUGCUUUCUAGCAUGAAUGGAAGGAAAGAGCAGCGGUGCUCAAUUUAAACUCGAUUUUUUUCUGGUACCUUGCAAAAAGGCUUCAUUGUAUUUUGAUUAAUCCAUGCUUGGUCCACCUCGGAUGUUUCCAUGGAAACAGAAUUUUUUUUUUCUUGAUGGCAACUGUUAGGCUCAGGAAGGUUCCUCUCCACACAAAACCACUCUGGCUCCUAAAGAACUACUUGUUGGAAAUUUAAUGUGCAUAAACAAAACUCCCAAAUUCCUCCUCAGUAUUACGGCAUUAUUGUUGUCAACGCUAAUAGAGAAGUGUUUUCUUAAUGGUACAGAGUGGUGCCUUUUCACUCCACAAGAAAAUAGAAUGUUACUAUUCUUUCUGCUGCCAGAGAGCGCUUUUCUUGGUCCAGGAAAAAUUAGAUUGCAAACCUUUCAAAAUUAAAUUUUAAGAGUUCCAAUGUGUGAAUAUUAUCUAGUUCUAGGCAUAAAUCAUUUGCCUUAAUGGCUGUAAAAAAAUUAAUUAAACUUGCCUUGUCGAUUGGCAGUAAUUUGAAUAAAUUAUUCUUCUGUGUCAUAUUAUUAUUUUUUUUUUCAAAGAAAGAAAGAAUCUCUUCAUACGCACUGCUAUUAUGGUUGGAAUAGGUUUUAAAAGUCAGCCAACAGGGGGAGCAUUUGUAUGGUAUUAUUAAUGUCACAAAGUGGUUGGAAACACGACCAUAUUUUUUUUGUCUAAAAUUAUUAGAAUUCUUGACCAUUUUUUAAAAUAGAAAAGGUUUUGGUUUGGAGUGUUUCAGCUUCUGAAAAAUCAAAUCUUGACUUCUGCUGACAGUACAAGAAGCUAUUUUAAAGUGAUGGUUGGGUUUGUUGUUUGGAAAAAUUGAAGUUUUAGAGCACAGAUGAAAUAUUAUUUUGGUUGAAAAGCAAUUUUUGGUUAAAAAUAUGUGGAGGAAACCCAUUCAAGCACCUCUAAUUGAAAUUUGACUUGUUAUUUUUAUUUCAGUGACAUCCAUACCACAUCAUAUAAGAUGGCGUAGAAAUAUAAAAUGUAAAUAUGUAUAUUAGAGUAAAGCCCUGACACCAGUGCUUGUAAAAGUCAAGGCAGAGAUGAGAGAAAAAGAGCUGUUGAUUUAUUCAUCCUUCUUUUUGUUUCAUCUUUUUUCAUCAUGAGAAGGAAUCUGCCAAAUGGAAAAAGGAAGAUCUCUUUGAGUGCAAAAUAGAAUUUUCAAGCUUUCUCCAAGCACAUACUGCGAAUAGGAAGUAUACAUCAAG